ACCUCUGACUCCCAAGCCCGGGCUCUUUCCACCGAGCCACGCCGCUUCUCACUUCCCGAGAUUUCUUUCUCACUUGGAAAAGAAACCGUCACGAGCAAAACCCUCCUGUUCACGUUUCAAGUGACCCAGGCCACUUACCGCCUUCGCCGAGAGGAGACGGGAAGGAAGCACGUGUCUGGGGCGCUUGCUCCCGAGGAGAACCUGCUUUUCUGUGCGCUGCCUUUGUCUGUUUCGACUUGCCCACUGGCUACCAACCGCCCCAGCCAGCGCCUUGGCUAUCCACCUAAUCUCUAUUAAACUUUGGAUUGAAAAAUCUCACUGACGUCCUGGAGGAAAACAGUACGGGACUAGCCAAACCGGUAGCCGGACGUAGGUAGCCGCGCAACACGCAGCUGGCGUCUUUUCGGAAGAGAAGCUCUGGAGCGCCCAGCGUGAGCAGCGGACUCCAGAGAGAGCCAGGGCCAGGAGACCCGGGGGCAGUUCAAGGUUCCGGAGAAGACUGAGUCACGUUCCGUGGAAGAAUGUAGAGUCUCUGGCCAAUCAGGACUCUAAGACCCACGGAGGUCGGGCUCUUGGGAUGGGUAAAAUCAGAGCCUGGCAACAAGGAACCCAGAAUAACUCCAUCGCUGUACGCUGUCCGUAACCGGGAUUUAACAAUCACCUUUCUAAUAACUCGAAGGUAUUCAAAUCUCUGAUCUCGUUUUCUUUUCUCCAGAUCUCUUAUUCACCCCAUUUCACA